UAUGAGUGUGUGUGAGAGUGUGUCAUUGAGUGUGUGUGAGAGUGAGUGUGUGAGUGUGAGAGUGUAAGUAUCAGUGUGUGUUAGUGUGUGAGUGUGUGUUAGUGUGUGUGUUUGUGUGUGAUAAUGUGUGUGUGACAAUGUGUGUUGUUAGUGUGUGUGUGAAAGUGUGUGAGUGUAAGUGCAUGUGAGAGUGUGUGUCUGAGUAUAAGUACAUGUAUGAGUGUGACUGUGUGAGUGCGUGUGUGUGUUAGAUUGUGGAUGCGUGUUAGAAUGAGUGUAAGUGUUUGUGUAUUACAGUGUUGUGAGUGUGUGAGUGUGAGAGUGAAUGUGUGAUUGUGAGUGUGUGUGAGUGUGAGAGUGCAAGUAUGAGUGUGUGUGAGUGUGUUUUAGUGUGUUAGUGGGAAUGUAAGAGUGUGUGACUGUAAGUGCAUGUGUGAGAGU
rnacentral:lncRNA from 1 species